GAAAGCAAUGUCGCAAGUGAGGUAAUCUUCACACAACCCAUGUAAUACAUAAGGGAAAGAGAUACAUAGUUGGCUUACAAUCGCCACUUCACACAAUUACAUGAAUAAAGCAUUACAUCAUCCAAAUACAAUUAAGGCCCGAUUACGGAGCCAAAAUAAAAGAAGACUACUCCAAAUGCUACACAGAUCCCCGAUCGACCCUAACUGGGCUCCACUAUGGAUCAACUAGAACGAAACAACACAAAGGACAAGAUCUUCAUCGGCCUCCUCCUUGAGCUUGGUUGCAUCACCUGCACGGUUCAACGGCACCUGCAAACUGGUUUUGGAAGUAUCUGUGAGUCACGGGGACUCAGCAAUCUUGCACAUUCGCGAUCAAGACUAUUUAAGCUUAUAGGUAGGGUAAAAUGUAUGAGGUGGAGCUGCACCAAGCGACUAGCAUAUAUGGUGGCUAACAUACGCAAAUGAGAGCGACCAGAGAAGGCAAAGCACGGUCGAUAAACUAUGAUCAAGAAGUGAUCCUAGAACAACCUACGCCAAACAUAACUCCAACACCGUGUUCACUUCCCGGACUCCGCCGGAAAGUCGUGCACGCGGUUGAUGUAUUUUAAUUAAGGUCAACUUCAGGUUUUCUACAACUGGACAUUAACAAAUUUCCAUCUGCCCAUAACCGCGGGCACGACUUUCGAAAGUUCAAAACCCUGCAGGGGUGUCCCAACUUAGCCCAUCACAAGCUCUCACGGUCAACGAAGGAUAUUCCUUCUAGCGGGAAGACCCGAUCAGACUCGGAAUCCCGGUUACAAGACAUUUUGACAAUGGUAAAACAAGACCAGCAAAGCCACCCAGAUUUGCCGACAAAUCCCGAUAAGAGCUGCACAUAUCUCCUUCUCAGGGCACACCGGAUGAGCCAGACGUCGAGUGGGCAAGCCCAGAGUGGCCGCUGGUAGCUCCGGACAUCGCUCAGUUGGGACCAACACUCAGAGGAGCACUGGCCCGGGGGUUUAAAUAAAGAUGACCCUUGAGUCUGCAGAACCCAAGGGAAAGAAAAGGCUACGUGGCGAAUGGUAAAACCAAUGUUGGGCCUUGCUGGAGGAGUUUUAUUCAAGGCGAACUGUCAAGGGGUUCCCAUUAUAACCCAACCGCGUAAGGAACGCAAAAUCCGGGAACAUAACACCGAUACGACGGAAACUAGGGCGGCAAGAGUGGAACAAAACACCAAGCAUAAGGCCGAGCCUUCCACCCCUUUACCAAGUAUAUAGAUGCAUUAAUUAAGUAAGAGAUAUUGUGAUAUCCCAACAAAAUAUCCAUGUUCCAACAAGGAACAACUCCAAUCUUCACCUGCAACUAACAAUGCUAUAAGAGGGGCUGAGCAAAGUGGUAACAUAGCCAAACAAUGGUUUGCUAGGACAAGGUGGGUUAGAGGCUUGGCUCAACAAUAUGGGAGGCAUGAUAAUCAAGUGGUAGGUAUCGCAGCAUAGGCAUAGCAAAAGAGCGAGCAUCUAGCAAGCAAAGAUAGAAGUGAUUUCGAGGGUAUGGUCAUCUUGCCUGAUAUCCCGCAAGGAAGAAGAAUAAUUCCAUGAAGAAGACAAACGGACGUAGUCGAACGGAUCCUCACAAUGCAACGUUAUCGGAACCAACCCGAAAAAGCACACCGGAAAGAAUCAAACAACAUAGUAAAUAAUCAUCACAUAAGCAUGGCACGAUGCGAAAACAAGUAUGAUGCAUGUCCGGUUUAAUGAGGCAUGGCAUGGCAAAAAGCACAAACAACCCUACAAAUUAAGUGGAGCUCAACAUGCAACUCCGUUGCAUAUUGAAGAAAACACCACAUGACUUAUUUAGUUCUCUCUUGUUUAUGUACCCAAAAAUAUUAAAUGUCAUUAGCAUGGCAAGAGGUGAAGCAUAAAGAAACUAUCUAUCUAGGCAAGUUUAAAUGAGGCCGAAAAUAACAAACAACAAUUCCGGUAAAGCCCCAUAUGCAUAUUUUAAGGUUUGGUACUGUUCUGCCCUAAACCAUAUUUUAUAGUUAUUAAACAUGCAAGAUGAUGUCACCAUGUUAUACUAGGGAAAAUUCCACGCCAUUUACAUAUAAAGUUUAAUAAAAUCUGAGUUACGGUUAUUUAGUUAUGAAAUAAAUCAUUUUAGCAAGUUAUUUAAGCAAAUUAAAACAAACAUCAUUUUAAACAUAGAUGAAAGUUGCAUAUUGUUAAACUAGAUGAAAAACUAAGCAAGUUCCAUACACAAAGUUUUUACAUGUGAUGCUUAGUUUGUGAGAUAUUAAAUGCAUGAAGGCUAAGGGGUUUUCUGUAAAUAUGCAGAUCCCUGGAAAUUAGCUAAAUUCACAGAACAAAAAAAACAUCCACUGGGCCGAAACUGAAUUGGCCCAGCAGUAAGAAAAAAAAGGAGGGGGCGCUUGGGGUGGCCUCACCCAUGGGCCUUGGCCCGACUCGGUGGAGAGGCUGGCGCGCCCUUCGCUCUGCUGGGCUGAGCGGGGAAAGGCCCAGGCGCUGUCGAUGCGGUGGCCCAAGCGAUGGCGAUGUGGUCAACGUGGUUCGAGCUCUCGCAUCCUGAAACUGACAAAGCAGAGGAAGCAGGGCGUCUGAACUUGCAUCGACUAGAAGCAGGGGAAGCAAGGCGCGACUCCAAUGAGGGAGAUGGCCGGCAUUCUCAGGUGUGGAGAGGCACGGCUCCGGCGGAGUCAUCGGGGAGCGGCAAGCGGCGUGGGACUCGGCAGGGGAGGUCGGCGACGAGCCUUGGCAGGGCGGCAAGAGCUGCAAGGCCAGGCGGAAGCAGGUGACGGCGGUGAGAAUCCUGGUGAGGUUGAGGUCGUCAUAUCCGGGGCGCCGGCGUGGAUCCGGGAGCGGGGAAACCGGGCGAAGGCGACCCGAUCCGGCGGCGGGGAGCUCCUGCGGGGUAGCCACGAGGGCGGCGGCAGCCAUGGGAGCUCCUGCUCGGGAGGAGGCGCAAGGUAGGGGACGGAGUGGAUGCGGUCAACGUCGACGAAGCCCGGUGAAGCGCCGCAAGCACACGUGGGAUCCGAGCGGCGGCGGCUGCGCGGUGCUAUGCGACUUGAGGCAGCAAGGCAUAGCUCCAUCGGGCUCCAUGGCAUCCUUGGUGGUGCUCCUGUAGAAAAGGAAACGGGGGGGAGAGAUGAGCAGAGAGAGAGAGGACGGUAGGAGCACGGAAGGCCAAGAAGAAGGGGCAACGGAGCUCAUUUGGUGGUUCGGUGAGGUGAAGCUGCUUGCUUCGGCAGCGGGAUCCUGGUGACUUUGGUCGCCGACGGGGACGAGCAGCUUGGGCUGGAGGAGCGAGGCAGGGAGGUGGCGGUGACUGGGUGUCUCUUUAAUUGAGGAGAAGGUGGGCGGCUGCACUGGCUGGCUGAAACGAGGGAAUCAGGAGGGAUACCAAGGGAGAAAAUGGCAGCGCUGGUUGGGUGGAACUGGCAGGGGAGAUGCGGUGGUCGCUGAACGAGGAAGAAAGGUGGGUGGAUGUGGUUGGCUAGAUGGGGAAAUCAAGGGAGAGGAGGUGGGUGGAUCGAGGAGGAUCUCGAUGAGAGAGUGGCGGCGGCCGAAAGGGAAAAGAUGGGACAAGCACCUAAGAUCUAGGGUUAGACUGAUAUUUAUAUCAGAUGAAUUUAGGUCAGGGGUAUCUCCUCCCUAUGAUCGAAAUCAGAUGGUCCGAGAAAAAUAGGUAGGGAGUCCAAAAAGAAAAACGGAGAUGUUUUGUAGAUGUUUGGGGAUGAUCCGGACCCAACCAAGCAGACUGUCCGAGUCGGGUUCGGGACAACUAUCGGACGCGCGCGCGAGGAGGGCCGCGGGCUGACGAGAGAGGUUAGGUUGGACCUGGUGGUAGGUAGAGUGGGCUGUGUAGACGGUCUUGAGCUGAGAGAAGAGAAGAGAGGGAGGCCCGACGACUGUUUUCGGAGACCUAAAACAUCCGACGUAAAGUCCGGUUAUACUGUCGAUAUAGUUAAUCGUUGGGGCGUCAAACGAACUCGGAAUGCGAUGAAACUUGGCAGGCGACCUACUAACAACAUAACAACACCACAUUCCAACUUUCAACCCAUUCCGAGAACAUUUUCUGGACACUUAUAAAAUACUAUUUUGGACAUGCCGCGGGCGCGUGCGAGUGUGUCUGGGCUCAGAACGGACAACUGACGGAACUGGGGGAAACCGAACGGAUGCAAGUUUUGAAAACAUGAUGAUGCAAUGCACAUGAUGACAUGACAAGAUGCAACACGCAAGUGAAUGACAUGGCAACGAUGGAGAACAACUGGGAGACACCUGGCACCUCCGCCUCGGGGCCUUACAACACUCCACCACUACGAGAGGAUCUCAUCCCGAGAUCUAGAAUGGCACUGGAGGGUAAACGGAAGAGAAAGAGAAGAGGUAAAACUAGGUUGCUUCUUUGACAAACGAGUGAAACCAACGAUCCUAUAAAGGUUAAGCCAUUAAAAGAAAGAAUGCAACGAAGAUGAACAAAGUUGAAAACACUCCGUUAGGAAAAGAGGAAAGGAAAGAACCGAUUUGGGUAGCACUUCGGUUUAGAAGGGAUAAGAAAGGAAAAGAACAAGGUCCUGACAAGAACAAGAAGAAGGGUUGAAGAGAGCAACAUCACAAUGCCUCCGGAACAGAAGAAAUAGAAGAUAGAUAAUUGAAUGAAAAGAAUGGAGAAGAAAAUGCCAACUUCUGUCACAAAGAACUUUAAAAGGCAUCCUUAAGCGAAAGGUCGAACGGAGUUGUUGGAAAACCAACAACGAAAAGAGUAAACUUGUUGUGGUCUUCUUGAAAACAACUCAAAACUAUGAGGUGGAAUUUCUGCCACUAACGGAAACGAUAGAUUGGAUUGAUAUCAACAAGGAGACGAGAAACUAAUUUCACCGGGAGGAUAAAUGAAGAACUUGGGUCAUUUAUGAGCACCAUAAAUAGCAACGAUCCUUAGGGAAGGCUUUAGGGGAAAAUAUAACCCAAGAUAACUCCAACGAACAGUUUGAUGGAUUUAAAAUACCUCAUUCUUAACAACAUGUGAAUCAUGAAACAUGAACUCACGUUAUCAAGACUGACAUAAUACCACCUCAAAAGAUGAGGUUAAAAGAAUUGCGCUCCAGAUUGCAAGAUGAAGGAUGCUUCAGCUCCUCUGAAAAGAAUCUUGAUGAACACUUCGAGAAGGAAUUAAAUCCUUGAUGAACCAUCAUGUAGAACCUUCAUGAAGAACUCCGGUAACAAAAAUAUGAUCAAAAGGAAAGGUAAAAUUGAAAAGAACUUGGAACUCCGGUAAAAGAAAAGUUGACACAAUUGCAAUCGAGAAUUUGAUGAACCUCCGGAAUAAGGAAUUGAGUUUACUCAAUGAAACCAGAAUAAGAAUUACAUUAUACUUAUCCUUCACCAAUUAAAUUGAUGACAAUCAAUGGAUUUGGCAUAUUACUUAUUCUCGUAGAAAGGAUUAAGAUAGAUAUAGCGCAAACUUGAGAAGGUCUUCAAUGAACCACCGGUAGGAUUGGAAAGAAUGAGUCAAUUGAUAUUAUAACAAAGGAAGAAGAAUCUUAGAAGAGCCACCGGUAGAAUUGGAAAUAAACGAAGAAAAUAUAAAGAAACACAAGGAAGAAUUAGAAAACGAAUGAAGAUGCUUGAGGGAAUUUAGAUACAUGAGAACGAAGAGAUCAUGAACUGAUUAGAGAAUACUUGAACGAUGCAUCGGAAAGAUUUGGAGAAUGGUAGCUGAAGGCUGAAAUGAAUAAGUCUUCUGAAAUGAUGGGCUCCGGAGGAAGGAAAAGAAUUUUUGCGAUCAAAACAAUUAUGAGAGGAUGGCCUUGAACUAGAACCACGAAUCUCUGAGAGAACGGAUAAGAUAUGGAGGUAAAACUCUUCUUCGGUCUUCAAAUGAUGAGAAAGACGACGAGAAACACCAUCAUGAAUUAUUGAGACACUCCCGAAUAAAGAAGAAUAGAAAAGUUGAACCAAUGAUGAAAAGAAUUUGGAAGAUCUUGGAGAAAGACAUUUGACUGAUGAUAAAUCAUUCUUAAGUCAAACUUCGAAAAGAAAUUUGAGGAUAGCUCCGGGAAAAUAAGAAGAGUCAGGUAAGAUCCUGGGAAAAGACCUGUGGGUUAGGGCCCACUCAAAAGAAACACCGUAGAAUGAUUUAAAAGAGAGAAUGCACCGGUAAGAUUUAAAUGCCUAGAAUGAGAUAACAACCUCGAAAUAGGUUGAACUGAUCCUGAAAGACAAGACCAGCCUUCUGAGAUAUCUUCGACACUCCCGAACAAAUGAAUAGCGAGAAGUGAAUUAUUAUGAGGUGCACCGGUAUGAGAAGGAAUUUGAAACGAGGAAAAAGGGACAUGAGAUCAACACCGAAAGCUUGAUUUGAAUCCACCGGAGAAGAAAACGAGUGAAGAGUGACGAACUUGAAGUUCCGUUAGAAUCUUCAUGAGAAUCACCGGGUAAGAACAUGAAGGAAAAGAAUGGAGAGACUUCACAUGUAUCAAAGGAUACUUGAUUAAGAAAUCUGAGUCCUUGAAUAAAAAGGGUGGGUGGGUGGGAAAACAAAGACAACUUGGAGAUGGAUGAAACAAACAACGUUGAGAAGAACUGAUACUUGAUCUUGCGGAUGUUGAAAUGUUUUCGGAUCCACUUGAAGAGAAACACGCCGGUUGAAAAGGAUUGACAUGACAUUCUCGAUGAUCAAGAAUGAUUAGUAUCCACAUAGAAAUAUGAGAACACCACUUAGUAAAGGUAUGGAAUCAACAUUUGACUUUGAAGCAAAUCGAGUACCACAACUAAAAAACAAAACAAAGGAUUGGCUUGCAGAAUAAGCCGGAACAAACAUAUGAUAGAGAUUUCGUCUGAAGUUUUCGUGGUGGGGCCUACACGGGCUCGAUCGUACAGCACCAUCAUGUACAAGGCAGUGCACAUGACAUACGAAGUGUCCCCGAGUCGGCAUAGCCAAGGACUCUUUAAGACACAACAAGACCACUGUAAAACCGACCGUGGAUAGGCGGACCACUAGACGUCGAACCCCAAUUUCAUAUCAUACAUCUGUCGGAAAGAUAUCAUAAGAGCUACUUGAAUUCCCACUUAUAAACUCCCGGAAUUUUCCGGUUAUGCAAUCAGGUGUUGGGGAUACAGGGGAAGCUUAAUGUCUCACCCAAAACUAGCAAAUCCUACAUCCAGCUGUAUCCAUCCUUCAACACAUAACAAAGAAACCUUCGGAAAUCGUUUACCUCAACCUUCGAAAAGCAUCUGUUAUACAAGUUAUGGCAAUACUCCCGAACUCCCGCCCCAGUACUGGGUGGCAUCGAGGUUAUCUCACCAACAACUGCAUAAAAGAGAUUUUCGAUGUCGGCGAAACUAAACUCAGGUAUUCCAGAACUGCAACGAUAAAAUUGUGACGACAACACCUCGGAGCUCAACUCCCCGGGACACUGCCACAACCCCUAAAUGACAGGAGGCACCAAGAACAAUGUUCUCGUCACAAAACCAUCGGAAUGAUUCCAAGAUACCCGCGUGAUCCUAAAAAAAGAAUUAGUGAAAAUUUGAGAAGAGAAGAGGCAAAACUCUACGUCAGGAUGCCUCACCAGAGCGACGAAGGGACUGAGGAGUAAAAGAAUUCCUAACUCUCCGAUAUAUAUAAUUCCUAAAUGACUCAAAACAUUUUUCUAGACUCAACAACGCCAACGAUUCGAUCAAGCAAGGGGCUCCUAAGGUCGGGGAAGGCUCUGAUUACCAACUUGUAACGCCCUCGAUGCGGCUAUAUCUCCCACGUGUCGAAGCACGACUUAGAGACAUAACCGCAUUGAAAGCAAUGUCGCAAGUGAGGUAAUCUUCACACAACCCAUGUAAUACAUAAGGGAAAGAGAUACAUAGUUGGCUUACAAUCGCCAAUUCACACAAUUACAUGAAUAAAGCAUUACAUCAUCCAAAUACAAUCAAGGGCCGACUACGGAGCCAAAAUAAAAGAAGACUACUCCAAAUGCUACAUAGAUCCCCGAUCGACCCCAACUGGGCUCCACUACGGAUCAACUAGAACGAAACACUACAAAGGACAUGAUCUUCAUCGGGCUCCUCCUUGAGCUUGGUUGCAUCACCUGCACGGUUCAACGGCACCUGCAAACUAGUUUUGGAAGUAUCUAUGAGUCACGGGGACUCAGCAAUAUCGCACCCUCGCGAUCAAGACUAUUUAAGCUUAUAGGUAGGGUAAAAGGUAUGAGGUGGAGCUGCAGCAAGCGACUAGCAUAUAUGAUGGCUAACAUACGCAAAUGAGAGCGAGAAGAGAAGGCAAAGCACGGUCGAUAAACUAUGAUCAAGAAGUGAUGCUAGAACAACCUACGCCAAACAUAACUCCAACACCGUGUUCACUUCCCGGACUCCACCAGAAAGAGACCAUCACGGUUACACACGCGGUUGAUGUAUUUUAAUUAAGGUCAACUUCAGGUUUUCUACAACCGGACAUUAACAAAUUCCCAUCUUCCCAUAACCGCGGGCACGACUUUCGAAAGUUCAAAACCCUAUAGGGGUGUCCCAACUUAGCCCAUCACAAGCUCUCACGGUCAACGAAGGAUAUUCCUUCUAGCGAGAAGACCCAAUCAGACUCGGAAUCCCGGUUACAAGACAUUUCGACAAUGGUAAAACCAGACCAGCAAAGCCGUCCAGAUGUGCCGACAAAUCCCGAUAGGAGCUUCACAUAUCUCGUUCUCAAGGCACACUGGAUGAGCCAGACGUCGGGUGGGCCAGCCUAGAGUUGCCCCUGGUAGCUCCGGACAUCGCUCAGUUUGGACCAACACUCAGAGGAGCACUGGCCCGGGGGUUUAAAUAAAGAUGACCAUUGAGUCUACAGAACCCAAGGGAAAGAAAAAGGCUAGGUGGCGAAUGGUAAAACCAAUGUUGGGCCUUGCUGGAGGAGUUUUAUUCAAGGCGAACUGUCAAGGGGUUCCCAUUAUAACCCAACCGCGUAAGGAACGCAAAAUCCGGGAACAUAACACCGAUAUGACAGAAACUAGGGCGGCAAGAGUGGAACAAAACACGAGGCAUAAGGCCGAGCCUUCCACCCCUUUACCAAGUAUAUAGAUGCAAUAAUUAAGUAAGAGAUAUUGUGAUAUCCCAACAAAAUAUCCAUGUUCCAACAAGGAACAACUCCAAUCUUCACCUGCAACUAACAACGCUAUAAGAGGGGCUGAGCAAAGCGGUAACAUAGCCAAACAACGGUUUGCUAGGACAAGGUGGGUUAGAGGCUUGGCUCAGCAGUAUGGUAGGCAUGAUAAUCAAGUGGUAGGUAUCACAGCAUAGGCGUAGCAAAAGAGCGAGCAUCUAGCAAGCAAAGAUAGAAGUGAUUUCGAGGGUAUGGUCAUCUUGCCUGAUAUCCCGCAAGGAAGAAGAAUAAGUCCAUGAAGAAGACAAACGGACGUAGUCGAAUGGAUCCUUACAAUGCAACGUUAUCGGAACCAACCCGAAGAAGCACACCGGAAAGAAUCAAACAACAUAGUAAACAAUCAUCACAUAAGCAUGGCACGAUGCGAAAACAAGUAUGAUGCAUGUCCGGUUUAAUGAGGCAUGGCAUGGCAAAAAGCACAAACAACCCUACAAAUUAAG
rnacentral:lncRNA from 1 species